ensembl:lncRNA
GGGGGACGUGGGGGCUUUUGUCCCGGCUGCCCAGCUUCUCCCACAUUGAUCGCCAUAGCAACCAAAGCCCCCUGUUGCCUAGGUGAUGGCAGCCGGGUCCUGGAACCCAUACCCAGCAUCCAAAGCGAGGGAGGUUGUGAAGGUGGGGGGGGUUAGGGACAGAGGGGGAGAGAAUGGGGUUUCUCCUCCGGCAGCCCCAGCUUUUGUCUGAGCCCUGGGAUCAGGUUUCUUCAGGAAACAAUCGGAGGCCUCUGGAAAAAAUACACUCAGAACCUGGCAACAGGCAGAGGGAACAAGGCCUUGGGGGUGGGGGGUUACAGAGGGGGAGGCUGGCGUUGGCCAAAGUGCCGGCUGAGGCCAGGCCUUCCCCUCCGUCCACCCGGAGGAGCAGCUCAGAGGGAUCGACGCAGGGACCCCGAGGGACAGGUGCUGAGAACUGGCGGCCAGGCGGCAGGUGCCUCUGAUCACCACCUCCUUCCCUGCUCCCUGGACCGGGCCACCCGGCCACCCAGGCCCAGGGCCCAAGCCUGGCGUGGGGAACGGAGGCGGGGCUGCGGGGAGGCGCCCCGGGAGCCGAGGGCCUCAGCCAGUAAAGCAAAGGAGCGGAGGACACAGGGCACAAACAUGCAUCAAGAAGGGGCACCUGUCAUGCCCGUGCUGGCCAAGGCACCGGGGCAGGAUCCUCCACGCGGGAGAAGAGGCUGGGACGGGACGAGGGGCCGUCUGGCCUGCCAGGGCUCCCAAGCCGCCCACUCCUUAAACGAUCAGCCCUUCCUCUUCUCGGCCGCGGACGGGGAAGGCCGGUCCCGCCGGGACACAGGAAGGGCACACAGGAAGGGCACGGUUUCCUCUUUGGGCCCCUCCUGCGGACGACGCGGGACACGGGCCCCCCAGACCUGUGGUUCCUUCGCAAGGGCCUGGGUCAGACCGAGCCUGCCUUCCCCUUCCCCGCUUCCACCCACAGGCAGGGGCCCCCUGCCCCGCGGUCCCCAAGGGUCACCCAGCACCCUCGCGGGUACACGACUCCCACCUCCCGGCCCAGAUCCAAAGAACCACAGGUUCAUCCAGAAAGGCAGAGCCCGGGCAGAUGUCGGGCAGACGCCAAGUCACAACCAUCCUGCAGGCCACCGGUUCUCCCCCACCUGCCGGCUCCACCUGGGUGCUCGGCCUGGGCCCCAACAGCCGCGGGUGGCGGCCAGAGGUCCCAGCACUAAAGCUGGACACGCAGCCCAGUGGAGGACGCGCGGCCCCAGGUGAGGCCCCCCGGUAGGCCACCACUGAGAGACUCGCUGACGCUUCGGCCGUGAGGUGUGCCCUCUCAAGAGCCAAAUCAGGUGCCUCGAGGACACGCCAAGGCCGGGUCAGGGAGACCAUGGGGACCCCAGCCCCUCUUCUCGGCAGCGGCGGGGCGAGGGGGGUUUCAGCCCCACUCCUCCGGAGCAUGGCGCUCCCUCACCCCUCCCUCAUCCCUCCCNNNNNNNNNNNNNNNNNNNNNNNNNNCCCACCCCGUGGCCCCACCCAGCCUCAGGCCAUGGACCAGCCACGGUUCCCUCAUCACAAGAGGAGGACAGCACAGGGCAGGCGGCACAGGGCAGGCAGGACCCUAGACCAAUGAAGCCACGGACACUGGCUCCCCACCCUCAUUCCCAUCCCCUGCCCAAGGUCCCAGUGCCCCUGGGGGAGACCAGAGCUAGCAGCUGGAUUGCUGGGGGCCCGACGGGGAGCCCAGGAGCCCCCACCCCACUGCCCAGGCACUCUCCCAGGACCGCCCAGACAUGAGCUCACCAUCCUUCGAGCCCCAGGGCAGGGCCAGGCUCCUUGUCCUCGCUGGGCUGGGAAGCAGGGGACGGCUGUGCUGGGUCACCCCGGGGACCACACUUCCAGAGCAGCUACUCCCCGCCAGACCCCAGUACAAGGAGCAGCCUGGGGAGAGUGAGCCCGCACUCUGGGCUCCUGGCCAGGAUACCUGAGCUCGCACUGGCCCUAGGGAGGGGCUGGGGGAGCCAGAGCCAAGCCCUCCUCCUCCUCUGCUUCCUCACCUCUCCUCUGUCUAAAGCAAGGGUGAUGUGGGUGCCCCCUGAUGCCCAGACACAAGUACACCCACACUCCUACCCCCCUGAAACCUGGAAUGGCUCUGCCUGCCCCACCCAGCUCCACCCGCCCCGGCCAGGCAGGUUCUGUGGAGACCUGCUCUGUUUCUCCCCGGCACCCCCACUUCCACGCCAGCUCCCAGGAGGUCUCCGUCCCCCGACACCCC